GCGGACGACAGGUAGGCGAGCACAGUUCCCAAGCUGAUAGCGCGGGUUCGAUUCCCGUCACCCGCUCCA
rnacentral:tRNA from 1 species